rnacentral:rRNA from 1 species
GGGGAAUUUUGGACAAUGGGGGCAACCCUGAUCCAGCCAUGCCGCGUGAGUGAAGAAGGCCUUCGGGUUGUAAAGCUCUUUCGCAAGGAAAGAAAACUUACUCAAUAACACUGGGUGAGGAUGACGGUACCUUGAUAAGAAGCACCGGCUAACUACGUGCCAGCAGCCGCGGUAAUACGUAGGGUGCAAGCGUUAAUCGGAAUUACUGGGCGUAAAACGAGCGCAGGCGGUUUUGUAAGUCAGAUGUGAAAGCCCCGGGCUCAACCUGGGAACUGCGUUUGAAACUACAAGGCUAGAGUAUGGGAGAGGGAGGUAGAAUUCCACGUGUAGCAGUGAAAUGCGUAGAGAUGUGGAGGAAUACCAAUGGCGAAGGCAGCCUCCUGGCCUAAUACUGACGCUCAUGCUCGAAAGCGUGGGGAGCAAAC